CAUGAGUGAAGCAACUUGGCGAAGAGUCCAAUAGAAGGGAUGCUCUGGGGUCUGAGAGUGUGGAGUUGCCAUCGCUAAGAGGGCAGAGUGACAUGGAUCAGAAGUGCUGGGCAACACAAGUCAUUGUUUGAGAGGCAACUUCUACUGAGAUCAACCCCUGGCUAUGCUGGCUGCUUAUACGAUGAAGAAAAGGAAAGGUAAAAAUAACGUGCUUGAAGGCGAGCUUCCCCAAUGGGACCUGCUGGUACUACGUCUUCACAUCCUCUUUGCCACUUCUAACCACUGGUGUUUUUUGACUCUUCUGUUUUCAGCCUUAGGUAUACCCUUCCAUAAUUUUGCUAGAAUUUUUUUUUCUCCAGUUUUUAAAAAAUUGUGUUGAAACACACAUAACAGAAAAUUUAUCACAUUAAUUUUUGUAAAGUGCUCAGUUCCAUGGUAUUAAGUACAUUCAUGGUUUUGCUGAAUUUUCAGCACUAAAGAUAUUUCUUCAGGAUUUCCUGCCUCAGGCCCAUGAGGCCACUGGAAGGCAAAGAAGCUGGCACACGGGAUUGUGUGCUUUAGCCUGAAAAUUUUUUGUGCAUCUUAAAAAUUCGGACUAACUCCAUUUGGAUUUUCUUUUUAAAGAGUCUUAAUUGUUUUUGUUGCUGCUGGUAGUGGUUUAAAUGUGAGACUGAAAAAUAAAACCUGGCUUUGUUGUCAAAGGGGAUAUUAAAGGAACUUCACUGGUGUGAUCUAAAAAUCUUUGGACCCUUAGGAAUCGAACAUUCAUCCCACACCAGAGCCGGCUUUCUAAAGUGGUGCUCAUUCCUGUGUUGGGAAUUUCCAAUCUUCUGACGUGUCUCCUAAAGGCAGUGCAUGCCAUCAUGGUGUCCAGUGUGUCUUCCGCGGUGGUCCCAGGGACCCGUUGCAGGCUUCCAGGAAAGCCGUUUUCCCGUUCUGUGCCAUGGUUCAUCCUGCAGAUAAUGGCAGCAUCUUGAAUAUCACGGAGGAGCCAAAGGAGUGAUGAGAUCUGUUUUCUGAUCUUCACGCCAGAGCCAGAUGUCCUGAUUAAGGAGCAAAUGAAGUUUGGGAAAGAGCCAACUGAUAGAAGAUGCUUCUGUUGGACCAGGAGACUUCAAAAAAAAAAAAAAUUAAUCCAAUUUUAUGUAAGUGAUUUCCUCUCCACCUGGUACGGCAGGAAAUAUAAUCUCCCGGGAAGGACGGAGUUGAAGAUUUUCCAGUUGCCACUUUUUCCUGUGCUAGAGACAAUUUUACUUCAAAGGCAUAGACUAGGGGGAAGGUCAAUGGAUUUGACUAGCUGGUGUCCUGCACCCUUUCUGAGGAACACCUGUAGGGGGCAGCCCUUCGGGCAAAGAAAGCUUUCCCUGGGCCCUGUCUGCUGGGCUGGAGGGCCCUGUGCUAGCGGCAGGGGUGGGGAGCAUGCCACUGCUCCCCUGGCUGAAUCUAGCACAAAACAGGAUUUGCCAAGCUGUGCUGAAUGACAUUCCAAUGGAAAAUGGAAGAUUCCGGAGUUCCCGUCGUGGUGCAGUGGUUAAUGAAUCCGACUAGGAACCAUGAGGUUGCGGGUUCGAUCCCUGCCCUUGCUCAGUGGGUUAACGAUCCGGCGUUGCCGUGAGCUGUGGUGUAGGUUGCAGACGUGGCUCGGAUCCCGCAUUGCUGUGGCUCUGGCGUAGGCCGGUGGCUACAGCUCCGAUUCAACCCCUAGCCUGGGAACCUCCAUAUGCCGCAGGAGCGGCCCAAGAAAUAGCAACAACAACAACAACAACAACAAAACAACAACAACAACAACAACAACAAAAAAAAAAAAAAAAAAAAAAAAAAAAUGGAAGAUUCCUGGAAGCAGCAAACCGACACCCCCCCCCCCCCACCAAGUUAUUCUUGCUUUUAAUCCUCCUCCUAAUGUGUGUCUUUCUGGGUGGAAGGGUCUAAGUAGAGACCCUCCCACAAUCAGCACCUCCUCUAAGGGGUUCCCUCUGACUGUGCCAUGUCCCAAAUAUUUGUGGGAGUUCCAAUUAAAAGGAGAAACAUUCUCUAUCUCCCCCAGCUCCUGGCAGUACAGUGAGCUCUUACCUUCCAGCCUGGAAUCAGGAAAAUGCUACUUUGAGGAGAAAAAGUGCUUAUUUUUAUUGGGCAGGACUUGAACUGCAUUUUAGUUUUUCCUUUUUAAGCCUAAUCACUUCACAGUGACUGAUGAUGCCUGAAGCCACGGGUCCUGCUUCCUGCAGUGAAAUGCGGAACUCUCCUUGCAGGUCUGGGCUUGCAGAAGGGUGUGCCCCACACUCCAGGCAGAGUUGCCCGUACUGUACAGACAGUUGGGUCUUUGUUCAGAAAGGCUGACUCUCUGGAGGUAAUGCUGCAGAAUGGGACCGGGUCCCCUGCCGUGAGGGAAGGCCUUGCUCCUGUUACGGAAGGGACGGGAAAUCCUUUUACCUCUUAAGGUUCCAGAACAAGAAGUGGCUGGGCCAGCUGGAGCCUAAUCUCCUCCCCUCCUCUGUUGGUGGGAGUUAAGAACAAUGAGGAGGGUGUCUUUGAAAACAGGUGGGAUUACCAAAGGAUUACACCAGCAGGAUAGGUAAAACAGAGGGUCAGCGCCCUGCUGGACCUCUUGGCCAAGCUGGGGACCUCAUUCCCAGGCGAGCAGCCUCCCCCGACCGAUUCUUAGCCUCUCUUCUCUGAGGACCCAGCAGGGGAACAACAGGGCUGGUUUGCAGCCCCUGUUGUUAAUUUUGAGAAUUCUAUUUGGAAAAAGCAUGGAUGAUCCUUGUUUAGGGAAAAUAAAACUAAAUAGUUUUUUU
rnacentral:lncRNA from 1 species